rnacentral:rRNA from 1 species
UAAGCGACUAAGCGUACACGGUGGAUGCCCUGGCAGUCAGAGGCGAUGAAGGACGUGCUAAUCUGCGAUAAGCGUCGGUAAGGUGAUAUGAACCGUUAUAACCGGCGAUUUCCGAAUGGGGAAACCCAGUGUGAUUCGUCACACUAUCAUUAACUGAAUCCAUAGGUUAAUGAGGCGAACCGGGGGAACUGAAACAUCUAAGUACCCCGAGGAAAAGAAAUCAACCGAGAUUCCCCCAGUAGCGGCGAGCGAACGGGGAGCAGCCCAGAGCCUGAAUCAGUGUGUGUGUUAGUGGAAGCGUCUGGAAAGGCGCGCGAUACAGGGUGACAGCCCCGUACACAAAAAUGCACAUGCUGUGAGCUCGAUGAGUAGGGCGGGACACGUGGUAUCCUGUCUGAAUAUGGGGGACCAUCCUCCAAGGCUAAAUACUCCUGACUGACCGAUAGUGAACCAGUACCGUGAGGGAAAGGCGAAAAGAACCCCGGCGAGGGGAGUGAAAAAGAACCUGAAACCGUGUACGUACAAGCAGUGGGAGCACAGAGCAAUCUGUGUGACUGCGUACCUUUUGUGUAAUGGGUCAGCGACUUAUAUUCUGUAGCAAGGUUAACCGAAUAGGGGAGCCGAAGGGAAACCGAGUCUUAACCGGGCGUUAAGUUGCAGGGUAUAGACCCGAAACCCGGUGAUCUAGCCAUGGGCAGGUUGAAGGUUGGGUAACACUAACUGGAGGACCGAACCGACUAAUGUUGAAAAAUUAGCGGAUGACUUGUGGCUGGGGGUGAAAGGCCAAUCAAACCGGGAGAUAGCUGGUUCUCCCCGAAAGCUAUUUAGGUAGCGCCUCGUGAAUUCAUCUCCGGGGGUAGAGCACUGUUUCGGCAAGGGGGUCAUCCCGACUUACCAACCCGAUGCAAACUGCGAAUACCGGAGAAUGUUAUCACGGGAGACACACGGCGGGUGCUAACGUCCGUCGUGAAGAGGGAAACAACCCAGACCGCCAGCUAAGGUCCCAAAGUCAUGGUUAAGUGGGAAACGAUGUGGGAAGGCCCAGACAGCCAGGAUGUUGGCUUAGAAGCAGCCAUCAUUUAAAGAAAGCGUAAUAGCUCACUGGUCGAGUCGGCCUGCGCGGAAGAUGUAACGGGGCUAAACCAUGCACCGAAGCUGCGGCAGCGACACUGUGUGUUGUUGGGUAGGGGAGCGUUCUGUAAGCCUGUGAAGGUGUGCUGUGAGGCAUGCUGGAGGUAUCAGAAGUGCGAAUGCUGACAUAAGUAACGAUAAAGCGGGUGAAAAGCCCGCUCGCCGGAAGACCAAGGGUUCCUGUCCAACGUUAAUCGGGGCAGGGUGAGUCGACCCCUAAGGCGAGGCCGAAAGGCGUAGUCGAUGGGAAACAGGUUAAUAUUCCUGUACUUGGUGUUACUGCGAAGGGGGGACGAGAAGGCUAUGUUGGCCGGGCGACGGUUGUCCCGGUUUAAGCGUGUAGGCUGGUUUUCCAGGCAAAUCCGGAAAAUCAAGGCUGAGGCGUGAUGACGAGGCACUACGGUGCUGAAGCAACAAAUGCCCUGCUUCCAGGAAAAGCCUCUAAGCAUCAGGUAACAUCAAAUCGUACCCCAAACCGACACAGGUGGUCAGGUAGAGAAUACCAAGGCGCUUGAGAGAACUCGGGUGAAGGAACUAGGCAAAAUGGUGCCGUAACUUCGGGAGAAGGCACGCUGAUAUGUAGGUGAAGUCCCUCGCGGAUGGAGCUGAAAUCAGUCGAAGAUACCAGCUGGCUGCAACUGUUUAUUAAAAACACAGCACUGUGCAAACACGAAAGUGGACGUAUACGGUGUGACGCCUGCCCGGUGCCGGAAGGUUAAUUGAUGGGGUCAGCGCAAGCGAAGCUCUUGAUCGAAGCCCCGGUAAACGGCGGCCGUAACUAUAACGGUCCUAAGGUAGCGAAAUUCCUUGUCGGGUAAGUUCCGACCUGCACGAAUGGCGUAAUGAUGGCCAGGCUGUCUCCACCCGAGACUCAGUGAAAUUGAACUCGCUGUGAAGAUGCAGUGUACCCGCGGCAAGACGGAAAGACCCCGUGAACCUUUACUAUAGCUUGACACUGAACAUUGAGCCUUGAUGUGUAGGAUAGGUGGGAGGCUUUGAAGUGUGGACGCCAGUCUGCAUGGAGCCGACCUUGAAAUACCACCCUUUAAUGUUUGAUGUUCUAACGUGGACCCGUGAUCCGGGUUGCGGACAGUGUCUGGUGGGUAGUUUGACUGGGGCGGUCUCCUCCUAAAGAGUAACGGAGGAGCACGAAGGUUGGCUAAUCCUGGUCGGACAUCAGGAGGUUAGUGCAAUGGCAUAAGCCAGCUUGACUGCGAGCGUGACGGCGCGAGCAGGUGCGAAAGCAGGUCAUAGUGAUCCGGUGGUUCUGAAUGGAAGGGCCAUCGCUCAACGGAUAAAAGGUACUCCGGGGAUAACAGGCUGAUACCGCCCAAGAGUUCAUAUCGACGGCGGUGUUUGGCACCUCGAUGUCGGCUCAUCACAUCCUGGGGCUGAAGUAGGUCCCAAGGGUAUGGCUGUUCGCCAUUUAAAGUGGUACGCGAGCUGGGUUUAGAACGUCGUGAGACAGUUCGGUCCCUAUCUGCCGUGGGCGCUGGAGAACUGAGGGGGGCUGCUCCUAGUACGAGAGGACCGGAGUGGACGCAUCACUGGUGUUCGGGUUGUCAUGCCAAUGGCACUGCCCGGUAGCUAAAUGCGGAAGAGAUAAGUGCUGAAAGCAUCUAAGCACGAAACUUGCCCCGAGAUGAGUUCUCCCUGACCCUUUAAGGGUCCUGAAGGAACGUUGAAGACGACGACGUUGAUAGGCCGGGUGUGUAAGCGCAGCGAUGCGUUGAGCUAACCGGUACUAAUGAACCGUGAGGCUUAACCU